rnacentral:misc_RNA from 1 species
UCCGGUUUGUCACCGGCAGUCUCCUAUGAGUCCCCGACAUAACUCGCUGGCAACAUAGGACAGGGGUUGCGCUCGUUGCGGGACUUAACCCAACAUCUCGCGACACGAGCUGACGACAGCCAUGCAGCACCUGUGUUCAGGUUCCCUUUCGGGCACCUCUGCAUUUCUGCAGAGUUCCUGACAUGUCAAGGGUAGGUAAGGUUUUUCGCGUUGCAUCGAAUUAAACCCCACGCUCCGCUGCUUGUGCGGGCCCCCGUCAAUUUCUUUGAGUUUUAAUCUUGCGACCGUACUUCCCAGGCGGCACGUUUAUCGCGUUAGCUUCGCCACAAAAGGGGUCGAUUCCUUUUACAGCAAACGUGCACCGUUUACAGCCAGGACUAC